rnacentral:rRNA from 1 species
GACGAACGCUGGCGGCGUGCUUAACACAUGCAAGUCGAACGGGUCUGCCCUGUUUUUUGCGGGGUGGGUCAGUGGCGAACGGGUGAGUAACACGUGAGUAACCUGCCCCUCACUUCUGGAUAACCGCUUGAAAGGGUGGCUAAUACGGGGUGUUCUGGCUGUGCCGCAUGGUGUGGCUGGGAAAGAUUCACUUUUGUGGUGUUUUGGUGGGGGAUGGGCUCGCGGCCUAUCAGCUUGUUGGUGGGGUGAUGGCCUGCCAAGGCUUUGACGGGUAGCCGGCCUGAGAGGGUGGGCGGUCACACUGGGACUGAGAUACGGCCCAGACUCCUGCGGGAGGCAGCAGUGGGGGGUAUUGCACAAUGGGCGGAAGCCUGAUGCAGCGACGUCGCGUGAGGGAUGGAGGCCUGCGGGUUGUGAACCUCUUUCGCCGGUGAAGAAGGUCCUGCUCUUUGGGGUGGGGUUGACGGUAGCCGGGUUAUGAAGCGCCGGCUAACUACGUG